rnacentral:rRNA from 1 species
UGCCAGCCGCCGCGGUAAUACGGAGGGGGUUAGCGUUGUUCGGAAUUACUGGGCGUAAAGCGCACGUAGGCGGACUAUUAAGUCAGGGGUGAAAGCCCGGGGCUCAACCCCGGAAGUGCAUUGGAAACUGGCGAACUUGAGUACGGGAGAGGAAAGUGGAAUUCCGAGUGUAGAGGUGAAAUUCGUAGAUAUUCGGAGGAACACCAGUGGCGAAGGCGGCUUUCUGGACCGAUACUGACGCUGAGACGCGAAAGCGUGGGGAGCAAACAGGAUUAGAUA